rnacentral:rRNA from 1 species
CGGGACACGUGGUAUCCUGUCUGAAUAUGGGGGGACCAUCCUCCAAGGCUAAAUACUCCUGACUGACCGAUAGUGAACCAGUACCGUGAGGGAAAGGCGAAAAGAACCCCGGCGAGGGGAGUGAAAAAGAACCUGAAACCGUGUACGUACAAGCAGUGGGAGCACGCUUAGGCGUGUGACUGCGUACCUUUUGUAUAAUGGGUCAGCGACUUAUAUUCUGUAGCAAGGUUAACCGAAUAGGGGAGCCGAAGGGAAACCGAGUCUUAACUGGGCGUUAAGUUGCAGGGUAUAGACCCGAAACCCGGUGAUCUAGCCAUGGGCAGGUUGAAGGUUGGGUAACACUAACUGGAGGACCGAACCGACUAAUGUUGAAAAAUUAGCGGAUGACUUGUGGCUGGGGGUGAAAGGCCAAUCAAACCGGGAGAUAGCUGGUUCUCCCCGAAAGCUAUUUAGGUAGCGCCUCGUGAAUUCAUCUCCGGGGGUAGAGCACUGUUUCGGCAAGGGGGUCAUCCCGACUUACCAACCCGAUGCAAACUGCGAAUACCGGAGAAUGUUAUCACGGGAGACACACGGCGGGUGCUAACGUCCGUCGUGAAGAGGGAAACAACCCAGACCGCCAGCUAAGGUCCCAAAGUCAUGGUUAAGUGGGAAACGAUGUGGGAAGGCCCAGACAGCCAGGAUGUUGGCUUAGAAGCAGCCAUCAUUUAAAGAAAGCGUAAUAGCUCACUGGUCGAGUCGGCCUGCGCGGAAGAUGUAACGGGGCUAAACCAUGCACCGAAGCUGCGGCAGCGACGCUGAUGCGUUGUUGGGUAGGGGAGCGUUCUGUAAGCCUGUGAAGGUGUGCUGUGAGGCAUGCUGGAGGUAUCAGAAGUGCGAAUGCUGACAUAAGUAACGAUAAAGCGGGUGAAAAGCCCGCUCGCCGGAAGACCAAGGGUUCCUGUCCAACGUUAAUCGGGGCAGGGUGAGUCGACCCCUAAGGCGAGGCCGAAAGGCGUAGUCGAUGGGAAACAGGUUAAUAUUCCUGUACUUGGUGUUACUGCGAAGGGGGGACGGAGAAGGCUAUGUUGGCCGGGCGACGGUUGUCCCGGUUUAAGCGUGUAGGCUGGUUUUCCAGGCAAAUCCGGAAAAUCAAGGCUGAGGCGUGAUGACGAGGCACUACGGUGCUGAAGCAACAAAUGCCCUGCUUCCAGGAAAAGCCUCUAAGCAUCAGGUAACAUCAAAUCGUACCCCAAACCGACACAGGUGGUCAGGUAGAGAAUACCAAGGCGCUUGAGAGAACUCGGGUGAAGGAACUAGGCAAAAUGGUGCCGUAACUUCGGGAGAAGGCACGCUGAUAUGUAGGUGAAGCGACUUGCUCGUGGAGCUGAAAUCAGUCGAAGAUACCAGCUGGCUGCAACUGUUUAUUAAAAACACAGCACUGUGCAAACACGAAAGUGGACGUAUACGGUGUGACGCCUGCCCGGUGCCGGAAGGUUAAUUGAUGGGGUCAGCGCAAGCGAAGCUCUUGAUCGAAGCCCCGGUAAACGGCGGCCGUAACUAUAACGGUCCUAAGGUAGCGAAAUUCCUUGUCGGGUAAGUUCCGACCUGCACGAAUGGCGUAAUGAUGGCCAGGCUGUCUCCACCCGAGACUCAGUGAAAUUGAACUCGCUGUGAAGAUGCAGUGUACCCGCGGCAAGACGGAAAGACCCCGUGAACCUUUACUAUAGCUUGACACUGAACAUUGAGCCUUGAUGUGUAGGAUAGGUGGGAGGCUUUGAAGUGUGGACGCCAGUCUGCAUGGAGCCGGCCUUGAAAUACCACCCUUUAAUGUUUGAUGUUCUAACGUUGACCCGUAAUCCGGGUUGCGGACAGUGUCUGGUGGGUAGUUUGACUGGGGCGGUCUCCUCCUAAAGAGUAACGGAGGAGCACGAAGGUUGGCUAAUCCUGGUCGGACAUCAGGAGGUUAGUGCAAUGGCAUAAGCCAGCUUGACUGCGAGCGUGACGGCGCGAGCAGGUGCGAAAGCAGGUCAUAGUGAUCCGGUGGUUCUGAAUGGAAGGGCCAUCGCUCAACGGAUAAAAGGUACUCCGGGGAUAACAGGCUGAUACCGCCCAAGAGUUCAUAUCGACGGCGGUGUUUGGCACCUCGAUGUCGGCUCAUCACAUCCUGGGGCUGAAGUAGGUCCCAAGGGUAUGGCUGUUCGCCAUUUAAAGUGGUACGCGAGCUGGGUUUAGAACGUCGUGAGACAGUUCGGUCCCUAUCUGCCGUGGGCGCUGGAGAACUGAGGGGGGCUGCUCCUAGUACGAGAGGACCGGAGUGGACGCAUCACUGGUGUUCGGGUUGUCAUGCCAAUGGCACUGCCCGGUAGCUAAAUGCGGAAGAGAUAAGUGCUGAAAGCAUCUAAGCACGAAACUUGCCCCGAGAUGAGUUCUCCCUGACUCCUUGAGAGUCCUGAAGGAACGUUGAAGACGACGACGUUGAUAGGCCGGGUGUGUAAGCGCAGCGAUGCGUUGAGCUAACCGGUACUAAUGAACCGUGAG